GAGGCACUUACCUCGGUUAGGACGCGUGGCUUAUCUGCACAUGUUAUAUGUGAUUAUAAUCAAGUUCCUGUUAAUCCCUUACAGAUAAGUACCGAUACUUCCAGCUUGAGAAAGGCAGAUCCCAAAGGUCGGAGUGCACUGUUGGCUGACAUCCAGCAAGGAACUCGGCUACGAAAAGUCACGCAGAUCAAUGACCGCAGUGCCCCACAAAUUGAGAGCGCUAAAGGAACAAACAAAGAAGGAGGGGGUCCUGCAAACUCUCGAGGCGGGAGCACACCCCCAGCCCUGGGCGAUCUGUUCGCGGGGGGCUUUCCAGUGCUGCGACCCGCAGGCCAGAGGGAUGCAGCAGGUAAGGAAGAGUUCAGACUGGCUACCUUGUGACCCUUGUUGCCUUACCUUGUGGGACCAACUGCCGGUAAGUGCAAGUGUAUGGAGUAAACCCUCACGUAGGCAGAGAGGGCAUAUUUGGAAACCUAAGCAGAGGAAGUUUCCAAAACAGAGAGUGGCUUUUAAAGGAUCUUUGAAAUCCUUACCCUGUUUCCAUCACCCAUUGUAAUCACUGAAGAAUGACUCGCCAUCGUGUGGAGUCCUUAGCGAUGGCGUGAUUGUGGCCCACACUGCCCAGUAUGCAUGGCAGAUGUCAACCACGAUGGAAGACCUGAGUGACGUCACUGCAGACGCACUGGCAAUGAUGAGUUGUGAUGGUUCUCUGUCAUCACAUCCCUUAGGUGUUGCUGUGUAACAAACCCUAAACCCAAGGGACCUUACCUAACCAUUUAUAGCUUAUAGCUCUGCGGGGUGGCAAUUCGGAUGCACCCCCUCUAGCAUCUACAGAUUGGGUAGGUGCCUUUGUUAAUCUUAUGUUUCUUAUCUCUCUGGUGCCUCCAGACUAAUCCAUCUGGUCCCUCUGCAUCUAGCAGACUGUUCAAGUUUGUCCUUGUGAUGGUGACAGGGCUUCAACAGAGAGGACAAAAGUACCUAAAGCCUCCAGAGGCUUAGUCUUGGAACUAGCCCAGCUUUACUUCCUAUGUCAUCCUCUUGCCCCAAACACGUCAAAGGCCAGCCCAGAGACAGGGGUA
rnacentral:lncRNA from 1 species